rnacentral:rRNA from 1 species
GAUAAACGCUAGCGGCAGGCUUAACACAUGCAAGUCGAGGGGCAGCAUAGAUUGUAGCAAUACAAUUGGUGGCGACCGGCGCACGGGUGCGUAACGCGUAUGCAACCUACCCGUCACAGGGGGAUAAUCCGGAGAAAUCUGGUCUAAUACCCCAUAACAUAUGGAUCGGCAUCGGUUCAUAUUGAAAUUUUCGGAGGUGACGGAUGGGCAUGCGUAGCAUUAGCUUGUUGGUGAGGUAACGGCACACCAAGGCGACGAUGCUUAGGGGGACUGAGAGGGUUUCCCCCCACACUGGUACUGAGACACGGACCAGACUCCUACGGGAGGCAGCAGUAGGGAAUCUUCCGCAAUGGACGAAAGUCUGACGGAGCAACGCCGCGUGAGCGAAGAAGGUCUUCGGAUCGUAAAGCUCUGUUGUCAGGGAAGAACAAGUACCGUUCGAAUAGGGCGGUACCUUGACGGUACCUGACCAGAAAGCCACGGCUAACUACGUGCCAGCCGCCGCCGUAA